CAGUGGAUCCACCAACGAUGGUCAGGAGAGUGGAUGAUGGAGAGCUAAGAGCUUUUUGUAAGUAUUUUUAAUUAUUUUUUGUUUACAAUUUGAUUUUCAGUAUGAAAUUAAAAUAGCUAUGACUUUAAUUUUCAGGAUCGUAUGAUAGGCAUCAGAUCCCAGCCUACCUUUGAAGGCUCGACCGCACCCACAGAUGAUGAGAUCUGUGAUCAGAUGCUUGGUACGAGAUCCUAUUAUGUUAGGAGUCUCGGACAUGGGAUCAGUGCUCUCUCAUCCUCACGCUCGUCCAAGGCUGACAUCCAUACUGCCUGCGAUGCUCGACUGGUAGAGAUGCAGAGGCAAGUUACUAAGG
rnacentral:lncRNA from 1 species